rnacentral:snoRNA from 1 species
GCACAGGUGAUGAGCAUUGCAAUAUGAAUGUCAACAGUGAUACUGUAAACGCUUUCUGAUGUG